rnacentral:rRNA from 1 species
UACGGAGGGGGUUAGCGUUGUUCGGAAUUACUGGGCGUAAAGCGCGCGUAGGCGGAUUAGAAAGUUGGGGGUGAAAUCCCGGGGCUCAACCCCGGAACUGCCUCCAAAACUACUAGUCUAGAGUUCGAGAGAGGUGAGUGGAAUUCCGAGUGUAGAGGUGAAAUUCGUAGAUAUUCGGAGGAACACCAGUGGCGAAGGCGGCUCACUGGCUCGAUACUGACGCUGAGGUGCGAAAGUGUGGGGAGCAAACACG